UACGGAGGAUGCAAGUGUUAUCCGGAAUCACUGGGCGUAAAGCGUCUGUAGGUGGUUUAAUAAGUCAACUGUUAAAUCUUGAGGCUCAACCUCAAAAUCGCAGUCGAAACUAUUAGGCUAGAGUAUAGUAGGGGUAAAGGGAAUUUCCAGUGGAGCGGUGAAAUGCGUAGAGAUUGGAAAGAACACCGAUGGCGAAAGCACUUUACUGGGCUAUUACUAACACUCAGAGACGAAAGCUAGGGUAGCAAAUGGG
rnacentral:rRNA from 1 species